GAGUUUGAUCGUGGCUCAGAUUGAACGCUGGCGGCAUGCCUUACACAUGCAAGUCGAACGGUAACAGGUCUUCGGACGCUGACGAGUGGCGAACGGGUGAGUAAUACAUCGGAACGUGCCCAGUCGUGGGGGAUAACUACUCGAAAGAGUAGCUAAUACCGCAUACGAUCUGAGGAUGAAAGCGGGGGACCUUCGGGCCUCGCGCGAUUGGAGCGGCCGAUGGCAGAUUAGGUAGUUGGUGGGAUAAAAGCUUACCAAGCCGACGAUCUGUAGCUGGUCUGAGAGGACGACCAGCCACACUGGGACUGAGACACGGCCCAGACUCCUACGGGAGGCAGCAGUGGGGAAUUUUGGACAAUGGGCGAAAGCCUGAUCCAGCAAUGCCGCGUGCAGGAUGAAGGCCUUCGGUUGUAACUAGCUUUGUACGGUAACGAAAAGAC
rnacentral:rRNA from 1 species